rnacentral:sRNA from 1 species
CCGCAGUCAUGGAGGAGAUCUCCCGUGGGUCUGCCCUUAGUGCCCGCGAGUCACACGCGCCAGGGACCUAGAGGAGCCUUUGGCAUUUGGGGGCUGUGGGGAACAUGAAGUGACCGCGACUCACGGUCUGGAGUGCAGGAAAGGCUUCUCCUGCAAGGCGGUGGCUUCAAAAACCAGAAGUCUGGUAGCACCACGUGCGGCGUCUCUAAACUCUUGGUCAUCUCUGACUUUUAAACAUCUAGGGAAAGUUCUAAAACACUGAGGCCGAUGUGAAUCCGAAGGCCUAUCCCCUUGCCGAUGCCCACCUCACCAAGAAACUACUGGACCUCGUUCAGCAGUCAUGUAACUAUAAGCAGCUUCGGAAAGGAGCCAAUGAGGCCACGAAAACCCUCAACAGGGGCAUCUCUGAGUUCAUCGUGAUGGCUGCAGAUGCCGAGCCACUGGAGAUCAUUCUGCACCUCCCGCUGCUGUGUGAAGACAAGAACGUGCCCUACGUGUUUGUGCGCUCCAAGCAGGCCCUGGGGAGAGCCUGUGGGGUCUCCAGGCCUGUUAUCGCCUGUUCUGUCACCAUCAAAGAAGGCUCGCAGCUGAAACAGCAGAUCCAAUCCAUUCAGCAGUCCAUUGAAAGGCUCUUAGUCUAAACCUGUGGCCUCUGCCACGUGCUCCCUGCCAACUUCCCCCCGGAGGUUGUGUAUCAUAUUGUCUGUGUUAGCAUGUAGUAUUUUCAGCUACUCUCUAUUGUUAUAAAAUGUAGUACUAAAUCUGGUUUCUGGAUUUUUGUGU